ensembl:lncRNA
GAAUGUUUGCAGGAUAUAAAAUCCCAGACCUCCUAGCAUGAGGUAAUGCGCUACUGGUAAUGGUGGUUCCCAUUAGCCCAAGGGCCCUCUAGAAAUCAACAACAUGUAAACAUUCAUUGGAAUGAAUGAUUCAUGUUUGGUCAAAUGUACAGCUUGUAGAUAUUGCACCGUGGGGCAGGCCAGAGCUAUAGAGAGAGAGAGUUGCGACACUUCCAUUGGACUCCGUUGUAGCGCCUACUUCCGGGGUAUGGAGCCUCGAAUAGUUCCAAACAACCAUUUUACGGCGUAGGAGACCGUUCAUUUCCAUUGCUGGCCGCCGAGUAACUUCUGAGACGACCGAUUGCCUGCUAGUUUGUUAGCUCGACUGCACCAUGUGAUGGUAUCUACACCAACAAUUACAAAGUUCAGUACUAGUGAAUCUAACUUUUAUUUAGUUAGUUAUUUAUGUUGGAUUACUAGGAUAAUUUAGGUUGAUUUAAGGACGGGUUUUAUGAUGCGAUAGCUAGUAGAAAUAACAGUGUUUGUUUAAUUAUAUCCUGGAAAGGGUGAUGUUCAGCACAUG